rnacentral:rRNA from 1 species
UGCCUACGGGGCGCAGCAGUGGGGAAUAUUGCACAAUGGGGGAAAGCCUGAUGGAGCGACGCCGCGUGGGUGAAGAAGGUCUUCGGAUCGUAAAACCCUGUUGUUGGAGAAGAAAGUGCGUGAGAGUAACUGUUCACAUUUCGACGGUAUCUAACCAGAAAGCCACGGCUAACUACGUGCCAGCGGCCGCGGUAAUACGUAGGUGGCAAGCGUUAUCCGGAUUUAUUGGGCGUAAAGGGAACGCAGGCGGUCUUUUAAGUCUGAUGUGAAAGCCUUCGGCUUAACCGGAGUAGUGCGUUGGAAAC